rnacentral:lncRNA from 1 species
GAACUUGAAGAAGUGAAGAGCUUUCUGCGCAUGUGCGAGCCCUGCAACCUCUCCAAACUCUUGGACUGGAAUGGGACUGGUAAAUUAAAGCGUGUAGACCUCAGUGCUCUGUUUAAAAAGGAAGGCUUCUCCAUACAUCCUGAGCGGCUGAAUGUGAUGAUGUCCUCUUUUAAUAGUAUGGAUGGAAACUGGGUAACUGUGGAAGUUCUGGCUGCUUAUAUUCAGGCCUGGAGCAGAAAGCAUGAGGAAAACGAAGAACAACAAUCAAGCCCAGGUUAUUGGAAUGCAGACUGUGAGGGAAGGAUUGGGUCAAGACACCAUCUUCCAAUACAUGGAGACGAGAAAGAUGACCAGGAGGUCCUGCAGGACGUGGAGGUGUUAGCGAUCAUGCGGAGAGUGCUGGCAGCCACCAAGACCUCUUGUCCUUCUUCUCUGAGUGGCCCAGUGGGCAGAGAAGUGGAUCGUUUCAGGAGACUUUGUUUCAGUGAAUACCUGAAAUCACUGGAGCAAUGCCAACGACAAGGGCUAAAUGUGAGCCAGGUCACACUACAGAAAGUCCUGUUGCACCCUGGUGACAAAUUUGGAGGUUACUUUGGGACACCCAAAACACAUCGAGUUGAAGGUGGAGCACAUAAGGGCCACAAAAACAUGAAGCCGGUUUGCUGGGUGGACCCUAAUGCUUUCUGGCCUGGAAGGGAAGAUCAUGUGCGUUUGUUUCUGCCUGUAAUGACAAGCUCUCCUGCAAUGGUUUUAUUUCAGCGUAUCGAACAUACUGUUGUGCCAAGUCCUGGACACUGGCCUGUAAAUCAUUUAGGAUACUCAACCUCUGGAGACAUAGAAGCUCACAAAACAUACAGCCUCUAGAACAUCUUUGACUGUAUUGAAUGUCUGUAGGGAUGUCAAAUGGGAAAUUGUUGUUUUGACUUUCUAAAAAGUACAUUUCUACCAUUAGAUGGCGGCACGCAAACGCUGAAAUUCUACUGUAGGUGCGCUGCUGUUUUUAGCUACACAGGUCUUUGCUUUUUUUCACUCAACAUAUUCUCCUCUGUGGCG